AAUUAGAGCCUGUCUCAAAAAUUUUACUAGAAGAGAUUGUUUUGAUAUCUAAAUAUCUUCAAAUUGAUCAUCUCAACAUCAAGAUGCAUGAGCAUAUGAAAAAAUUGGAUUUCAAGUUUUGAAAAUAGUGUAUUUUGAAAUAUAUUUUUAAGCUGUCAAUUUUCAAGAUUUUCAUAGAUAUGUCGAUCUAUACUAUUUUUUAAGUUUUAAACUUAAUAAAAAAUAUGAAAAUAUAUUUGUAAGGCUAUCACAAACAUUUCUAAUGUUGAAACCACAUUUCUCGACAUUAUUUGAAGGUAGGCUAUAAUUUGAUUAUAUAGAGCCUAGGCUCUAUACAAACCGCACCCUUCAAUCAAUGAGCAAUAUACCUUGGGGGCCAGCUACUUAUGUUUACAAUCUCUUUCUUGUCCAUGGAUUUCAUUUUUGAGGUCACAAUUUGAGAAUGAUAGCCG
rnacentral:lncRNA from 1 species